GACGAACGCUGGCGGCGUGCUUAACACAUGCAAGUCGAGCGGUAAGGCCCUUUCGGGGGUACGACGAGCGGCGAACGGGUGAGUAACACGUGGGUGACCUGCCCUCAGCUCUGGGAUAAGCCUGGGAAACCGGGUCUAAUACUGGAUAUGACUCCAUGACGCAUGUUGUGGGGUGGAAAGCCUUGUGCGGCUGAGGAUGGGCCCGCGGCCUAUCAGCUUGUUGGUGGGGUGANGGCCUACCAAGGCGACGACGGGUAGCCGGCCUGAGAGGGCGACCGGCCACACUGGGACUGAGACACGGCCCAGACUCCUACGGGAGGCAGCAGUGGGGAAUCUUGCGCAAUGGGCGAAAGCCUGACGCAGCGACGCCGCGUGAGGGAUGACGGCCUGGUGU
rnacentral:rRNA from 1 species